rnacentral:rRNA from 1 species
CGGCGUGCCUAACACAUGCAAGUCGAACGGAGAGGUUAUGAACAAGACUUCGGUCAAGUGAUUAAUUUUCUUAGUGGCGGACGGGUGAGUAACGCGUGAGCAAUCUGCCUUUCAGAGGGGGAUAACGUUCUGAAAAGAACGCUAAUACCGCAUAAUGUAUUUUGAUGGCAUCUUCGAAAUACCAAAGGAGCAAUCCGCUGAAAGAUGAGCUCGCGUCUGAUUAGAUAGUUGGUGGGGUAACGGCCCACCAAGUCGACGAUUGGUAGCCGGACUGAGAGGUUGAACGGCCACAUUGGGACUGAGACACGGCCCAGACUCCUACGGGAGGCAGCAGUGGGGGAUAUUGCACAAUGGGGGAAACCCUGAUGCAGCAACGCCGCGUGAAGGAAGAAGGUCUUCGGAUUGUAAACUUCUGUUUUUAGUGAAGAAACAAAUGACGGUAGCUAAAGAGGAAGCCACGGCUAACUACGUG